rnacentral:rRNA from 1 species
AACCUGGUUGAUCCUGCCAGUAGUCAUAUGCUUGUCUCAAAGAUUAAGCCAUGCAUGUCUCAGCUUAAGUUGCUUUCUGCUACACUGUGAAUGGCUCAUUAUAUCAGCCACAAAUUGAUUGGUGGCUGACACAUAUGGAUAUCUAUGGCAACUCUGUAGCUAACACAUGCUCGUUGACCCUGCUGGAUGGGUUGUAGCCAUUCUCACAAGAACCAAUUCAGGCUCUGCUUGGCCAAGCAUGAGUACAAAUGGCUGUAUGAAUCACGGUGUCUGUGCAGGUGAUAAUCCUUCAAGGUUUCUGACCUAUCAGCUUCCGACGGCAGGGUAAUGGCCCACUGUGGCAGUGACAGGUGACGGAGGAUUAGGGUUUGAUUCCGGAGAGGGAGCCUGAGAAAUGGCUACCACAUCCAAGGAAGGCAGCAGGCGCGCAACUUGCCCAAUUCUGGACGAAAGAGGUAGUGACAAGAAAUAGCAAUUCAAGGCAUCCAUGUCUUGUACUUGGAAUGAAAGACCUGCACACUUCCUUUUGAGUAUCUAUUGGAGGGCAAGUCUGGUGCCAGCAGCCGCGGUAAUUCCAGCUCCAAUGGCAUAUGUUAGAGUUGUUGCAGUUAAAAGGCUCGUAGUUGGAUUUCUGCAGAGGAUGCCUGGUCCGCCCAUGGGGUGAGCAUCUGGUGCAGCCUGAGCAUAUUUCCUAAAUAUGCAACUGCACUUGGCUGUGUGGUGCAAAUUUGGGGGCUUUUACUUUGAGGAAAUGAGAGUGUUCAAAGCAAGUGUGUGCUGUGCAUACAGAAGCAUGGAAUAAUAGCUGUGUCUGGGCUUCAAUUUGUUGGUUUCUGGAGCUGGAAAGGUGAAACAGGGACGGCUGGGGACAUUGGUAUUUGACUGUCAGAGGUGAAAUUCUUGAAUUUGUCAAGGAUGGACCACUGCAAAAGCAUUUGUCAAGGAUGUUUUCAUUGAUCAAGAACGAAAGUUAGGGGAUCAAAGACGAUUAGAUACCGUCAUAGUCUUAACCAUAAACCAUGCCAACUAGAGAUUGGAGAUUGUUACAUACACGACUCCUUCAGCACCGUGUGAGAAGUUGAAGUCUUGGGGUUCUGGGGGGAGUAUGGUCGCAAGGCUGAAACUUGAAGGAAUUGACGGAAGGGGACCACCAGGAGUGGAGCGUGCGGCUUACUUUGACUCAACACGGGGAAACUUACCAGGUCCAGACACAAGUGGGAUUGACAGAUUGACAGCUGUUUUCUUGAUUCUGUGGGUGGUGGUGCAUGGCCGUUCUUAGUUGGUGGAGUGAUUUGUCUGGUUAAUUCCGUUAACGAACGAGACCUUAACCUGCCAAAUAGUUACAUGUAAUUGCGGUUGUGUGGGCAACUUCUUAGAUGCCAACCUGCGGCGUGAUGGGGAUGGAUUGCAACAGGUGGCUGAUACUGCAUUGAUUGUGUCCCUGCCCUCUGUACACACCGCCCGUCGCUCCUACCGAUUGAGCGGUCCGGUGAAUAGUUUGGACCUGCUGUAGCAUCCAGUCAUGGAGCAGCACAGCCAGAAAUUCAGUGAACCUUAUCACUUAGAGGAAGGAGAAGUCGUAACAAGGUUUCUGUAGGUGAACCUGCAGAAGGAUCA